GCCUUAAGAAAGGUGUUUCUGUUUCAGUCAAGUGCCUAUUAUAGCAUUUCCUUUUCCAGUUGAAGAAAGAAUUGAAAGCAUACCUAAUUCUUAAUAGUGCUUCUGUUUCAGUGGAAGGGGCUUGAGUGAAAAAAAACCCAGUGCCACCUUAAGAAAGGUGCUUAUGAUUCUGUGGAAGAGGCUUGAAGACAGGGCUCCCUUAAAGGAUGCUUUAAAAAGUGUGCUGACAUCUUUGAAAUGGGAGGAGCCUCCCCAUGUGAUGGGAAUUAAUCAGAUGGUUGAGUAAGAAGCUGCAGGAGGUUAUCUUAUUGUGAUUGGGGUUGGGUUCUAGAAAAACAGGCUGACCUUUUACCCCAUCCUAAAAACAGAGAGCACUCAAUAAUAUAUGCAUGUUUAACAACUUUUAAAUACGUUAGGUAAUAUCACGAAAAUUUAUCUGACUACAGAAUUACACUGAAGGAUCUGAGAUUCUUGAACAGAAGUCUAUCUUUAGGUGUGACCCUACAGUCCUCUGGAAGUCAUGAAACAGGCUCCUCAGCAUGGAAAAUGGAACAAGAGCACCUCCCCAUGGCCAGAGUUGAGUAUCGCCUCCAGAUGCCAGAGAUCGAAAAAAGGGAAGGCCUUUACACCUUUGUUGUUCACUGUGUGUAAAAGGCAUUGAAUGUUUGCCUCAUACUGUAAUCCUUCUGGGGAGAUAAAGCGGAAUAUAAAUAAAAUGUAUUCUUCUU